rnacentral:rRNA from 1 species
ACCGUAGGGGGCAAGCGUUGUCCGGAAUCAUUGGGCGUAAAGCGCGUGUAGGCGGCUCGAUAAGUCUGCUGUGAAAGUCCAGGGCUCAACCCUGGAAAGCCGGUGGAAACUGUCGGGCUAGAGUCCGGAAGGGGCGAGUGGAAUUCCUGGUGUAGCGGUGAAAUGCGCAGAUAUCAGGAGGAACACCAAUGGCGAAGGCAGCUCGCUGGGACGGUACUGACGAUGAGACGCGAAAGAGUGGGGAGCAAACAGG